rnacentral:rRNA from 1 species
UACGAAGGGGGCUAGCGUUGCUCGGAAUUACUGGGCGUAAAGGGCGCGUAGGCGGAUAGUUUAGUUGGGGGUGAAAGCCCGGGGCUCAACCUCGGAAUUGCCUUCAAUACUGGCUAUCUUGAGUGUGAGAGAGGUGUGUGGAACUCCGAGUGUAGAGGUGAAAUUCGUAGAUAUUCGGAAGAACACCAGUGGCAAAGGCGACACACUGGCUCACUACUGACGCUGAGGCGCGAAAGCGUGGGGAGCAAACAGG